GUAAUAAUUGCAGUGGGACCCGCAGACCAAUAAUUGAGUUAAAAAGCCCCGUUUUGAUGAUUAUCUUGAAAACUAGUACCGAUUGGACCCCACUUUCUUAAUAUAAAGCUAUUAAAUACGUAUUUUCAUGCCAUAAACGAUCCAAAGGGGUACCAAUUAUUUGUAAAUAUAAAUAUACCUUUCUAGAGCUGAUUUUCACCCGUAAAAUCAUUUCACCAGUUUCUCUGCACGAAUACCGAGAGAAACCGAGCGGUGUUCUUCGUGUUCUUCAUAAUCAAACGAAGAUUUGAAGGUGUUAUUGGAGUCAGAAUCAAGCGUGCAAAUAGUCAAAUCGAAGAUAUCGA
rnacentral:lncRNA from 1 species